rnacentral:rRNA from 1 species
GGAUCAUUACCGAGUUUACAACUCCCAAACCCAAUGUGAACGUUACCAAACUGUUGCCUCGGCGGGAUCUCUGCCCCGGGUGCGUCGCAGCCCCGGACCAAGGCGCCCGCCGGAGGACCAACCAAAACUCUUUUUGUAUACCCCCUCGCGGGUUUUUUUAUAAUCUGAGCCUUCUCGGCGCCUCUCGUAGGCGUUUCGAAAAUGAAUCAAAACUUUCAACAACGGAUCUCUUGGUUCUGGCAUCGAUGAAGAACGCAGCGAAAUGCGAUAAGUAAUGUGAAUUGCAGAAUUCAGUGAAUCAUCGAAUCUUUGAACGCACAUUGCGCCCGCCAGUAUUCUGGCGGGCAUGCCUGUCCGAGCGUCAUUUCAACCCUCGAACCCCUCCGGGGGGUCGGCGUUGGGGAUCGGCCCUCCCUUAGCGGGUGGCCGUCUCCGAAAUACAGUGGCGGUCUCGCCGCAGCCUCUCCUGCGCAGUAGUUUGCACACUCGCAUCGGGAGCGCGGCGCGUCCACAGCCGUUAAACACCCAACUUCUGAAAUGUUGACCUCGGAUCAGGUAG